ACGGUCCUAAGGUAGCGAAAUUCCUUGUCGGGUAAGUUCCGACCUGCACGAAUGGCAUAAUGAUGGCCAGGCUGUCUCCACCCGAGACUCAGUGAAAUUGAAAUCGCCGUGAAGAUGCGGUGUACCCGCGGCUAGACGGAAAGACCCCGUGAACCUUUACUAUAGCUUGACACUGAACAUUGAAUUUUGAUGUGUAGGAUAGGUGGGAGACUUAGAAGUAGUCACGCCAGUGAUUAUGGAGUCGUCCUUGAAAUACCACCCUUUAACGUUUGAUGUUCUAACGAAGAUUACGAAACGUGGUCUCGGACAGUGUCUGGUGGGUAGUUUGACUGGGGCGGUCUCCUCCCAAAGAGUAACGGAGGAGCACGAAGGUUUGCUAAUCACGGUCGGACAUCGUGAGGUUAGUGCAAUGGUAUAAGCAAGCUUAACUGCGAGACAGACAAGUCGAGCAGGUACGAAAGUAGGUCAUAGUGAUCCGGUGGUUCUGAAUGGAAGGGCCAUCGCUCAACGGAUAAAAGGUACUCCGGGGAUAACAGGCUGAUACCGCCCAAGAGUUCAUAUCGACGGCGGUGUUUGGCACCUCGAUGUCGGCUCAUCACAUCCUGGGGCUGAAGUAGGUCCCAAGGGUAUGGCUGUUCGCCAUUUAAAGUGGUACGCGAGCUGGGUUUAGAACGUCGUGAGACAGUUCGGUCCCUAUCUGCCGUGGGCGUUGGAGAAUUGAUUGGGGCUGCUCCUAGUACGAGAGGACCGGAGUGGACGCACCACUGGUGUUCCGGUUGUGUCGCCAGACGCAUUGCCGGGUAGCUAAGUGCGGAAGAGAUAAGUGCUGAAAGCAUCUAAGCACGAAACUUGCCAAGAGAUGAGUUCUCCCAGAUUACAAAUCUGUAAGGGUUGUUUAAGACUAAGACGUAGAUAGGCAUGGUGUGUAAGCGGUGCGAGCCGUUGAGCUAACAUGUACUAAUUGCCCGAGAGGCUUAACUAU
rnacentral:rRNA from 1 species